UUGGGUAAUUACUCCUCGAUGGAAGGUGUUCUUUAUUGCAAGCCUCAUUUUGAGCAACUCUUCAAGGAGACGGCUAUAGAGUCAGCUGAGAAGUUAACUUCCGAGCUGGUAAAUAUCCCUUGCAACACCAAAUGUGUUUGAUGUUUGAUUACAUAAAGAGCUAAAAGUUGUUAUUAGAUGAGGAUAUCUGAUGAAAUUAUAUCUAAGCAGGCAUUUUGCAUUUGCUAAUGCUUCAUCUCUGAUAAUACCAAAUGGUGGAAGUUAAUGUUCCUCAACUUCUCUUGGAAGAAUAAAGGCACAACUUCGAACAAAUGUGCCUAACAAGAUACUUGAAAGAAUUGAUUCCAAAUGCUGCUAUUGAUGAAUUCUGAACUUCCUUGUUUUUGAUGACUCGUAAUCCUAGGGGUCUCUUUUUUAAGCUUCUGGUGGCAGUUUCUAUUAGCGAAACGCAGCAAGGUCUUGAGGUUUGUUGGCUUGGCUCUAAUUUUAUUUUUGUGACAGAAGCAUUUCUUUAUUACCUUGCUUUUGGCUCCUAUUGUUUUCAGUCUUCUUUUCCAUCUUGUCCUUGUUGAACUUAGCCACUUCAUAGAGAUUUUAUUGUAAUUGUACAGCUCUGUUACCACACCAAUUUUUAUGCCAUUAAAGUCUUAGGCUAAUAAGACAAAAGACUUGCCAUGGCAUCCAUUGGUGAUGGAUUAAUAUAAUUAUGCUUUUUAGAAAAAUAUUACCUAUUAUAUGAACUACUUGCAAAUGAAUUUUAUCUUGCAACUUAAUCUUUACAGCUAAGGAAGGCUGGGAACCGCAAUGUCAGCUAGGUUUGUUAGGUUGGAGAAUGGACAAACAAAUAUGUAUAGAGAGGAAUUGGAGAGAAAAAGAGAGAAAGAGAGAGAUGACUAAAAUUAGUUGAGGAAAAUGAUUGUAAAGAUUGAUUUUUAGACAUUUUAAAUGUUGUAAAGACCUUUGAAAAUGAUUUUUAAAGCAUUUGAUUUUUGAGGCAUUAGUUCUACAAUUUGAUUUUA
rnacentral:sRNA from 1 species